GCCAAGGCUGACUCUGAGGGUUGUCGCUGGCCUUUCGGGGCAUGUGCACGCCCGAGCUCUUAAAUCCACAACACACCUGUGAACCCACCGUAGGCCUUCGGGCUUAUGCAUUAUUUAUACUCUGUAUGUGUCAUAGAAUGUCCACGUUGCAUUAAAAACGCAAUAAAAUACAACUUUCAACAACGGAUCUCUUGGCUCUCGCAUCGAUGAAGAACGCAGCGAAAUGCGAUAAGUAAUGUGAAUUGCAGAUUUUCAGUGAAUCAUCGAAUCUUUGAACGCACCUUGCGCUCCUUGGUAUUCCGAGGAGCAUGCCUGUUUGAGUGUCAUCAAAUCAUCAACCCCGAUUCAUCUUGGGGCUUGGACUUGGAGCGUGCUGGCGAAGGUCGGCUCCUCUUUAAAUGCAUCAGUGGAAGAAUGCACCUUUUUUUCCCCUUCGGCGUGAUAAUCCUGUUGCGCCGUGUGUGGGUCGAAGGUGUUCCGCUUAUAAUCGUCCUCGGACAACAUAUACUUUUGACCUCAAAUCAGGUAGGACUACCCGCUGAACUUAAGCAUAUCAAUAAGCGGAGGAAAAGAAACUAACAAGGAUUCCCCUAGUAACUGCGAGUGAAGCGGGAAAAGCUCAAAUUUAAAAUCUGGCGGUCCUCUGGCCGUCCGAGUUGUAAUCUGGAGAAGCGUUUUCCGCGCUGGACCGUGUCAAAUUUCUCUUGAA
rnacentral:rRNA from 1 species